GUGGAGAGAUAGAGUGUGUGAGAGAGAGAUGUGGAUAGUGUGUGUGUGAGAGAGAUGUGGAGAGAUAGAGUGUGAGAGAGAGAGAUGUGGAGAGAUAGAGUGUGGGAGAAUGAGAUGUGGAGAGAUAGUGUGAGAGAGAGAUGUGGAGAGAUAGAGUGUGUGAGAGAGAGAUGUGGAGAGAUAGAGUGUGUGAGAGAGAGAUGUGGAGAGAUAGAGUGUGAGAGAGAGAUGUGGAGAGAUAGAGUGUGAGAGAGAGAGAGAUGUGGAGAGAUAGAGUGUGUGAGAGAGAGAUGUGGAGAGAUAGAGUGUGAGAAAUAGAGAUGUGGAGAGAUAGAGUGUGUGAGAGAGAGAUGUGGAGAGAUAGAGUGUGGGAGAAUGAGAUGUGGAGAGAUAGUGUGAGAGAGAGAUGUGGAGAGAUAGAGUGUGUGAGAGAGAGAUGUGGAGAGAUAGAGUGUGUGAGAGAGAGAUGUGGAGAGAUAGAGUGUGAGAGAGAGAUGUGGAGAGAUAGAGUGUGAGAGAGAGAGAGAUGUGGAGAGAUAGAGUGUGUGAGAGAGAGAGAUGUGGAGAGAUAGAGUGUGAGAAAUAGAGAUGUGGAGGGGGAGACAGGGAGAGAGAAACGUGGAGGGAGAGAAUGAGUGAGAAAGAAAUAGAGAGAGCAAGGGAGUCAGAGAGCGAUGUAGAGGGAGGGAGUGAGAGAGACAAAGAGACCUGAAAACUUUAUAUCUUCAAAUGUAAUAAAUCUACAUACUAUAAAGUGCUUUAAUAAACUGUUGGUUCACCACAAGCUACAGCUUCAGUGUUCCUUGGGAUCAAUUCUACAGGGACGGUACCUGAGCGAGGAACACCGUUCCUCUCAAACCGUUUCCUCAGCUGGUGUUUUGACAAUGACGAUGGAGAGCGCUGACGAACACAUCCACUCAAAAUUAAGGUUCAUAAGAACUCGUCUUCCAGCAGGGAUUAUCCACACAAUUUGGCCAAAUCCCACCUGGCUUCCUAUUCAUUAUACAGGACUGUAUAUGCUCACUAUGUGGGGUAUAACAUAGCACACUGUACUCACUAGCACUCAGACAAUUACUUAUUGAAAAUUUAAGCUUGUUGGAUGUACGAUUUAGGAAUUUCACCGUCUCUGGUAGAAGGAUGCUGCUAUAAUGCAGUACUUGAUGAAGCACUUUCCAUAACAUGGGUUUAAUUGGUGUAAUCUCACAGCUGUGCGUGCCAAUAACUGCCGACAGCCAGCAAUUUUGCCGCCUAUAAACGCACCGUCGCCGGCUACUCACAGUGUUUUGUUGUUGUUGUUGUUUUUAAAUUAAAAAUUCCCUUGUGA